AGCUCGGUAGCUUAGUUGGAAAAGCACUUGUCUAGCGAAUAAGGGUCGUGAGUUCAAAUCUCACCUGAGCCU
rnacentral:tRNA from 1 species